rnacentral:rRNA from 1 species
CGGCCGCGUCGACGAGUUUGAUCCUGGCUCAGGACGAACGCUGGCGGCGUGCUUAACACAUGCAAGUCGAACGGUGAUGGGGGAGCUUGCUCCUCCUGAUCAGUGGCGAACGGGUGAGUAACACGUGAGUAACCUGCCCUUGACUCUGGGAUAACUCCGGGAAACCGGGGCUAAUACUGGAUAUGAACUGCCCUGGCAUCGGGGUGGUUGGAAAGUUUUUCGGUCAAGGAUGGACUCGCGGCCUAUCAGCUUGUUGGCGGGGUAACGGCCCACCAAGGCGUCGACGGGUAGCCGGCCUGAGAGGGCGACCGGCCACACUGGGACUGAGACACGGCCCAGACUCCUACGGGAGGCAGCAGUGGGGAAUAUUGCACAAUGGGCGAAAGCCUGAUGCAGCGACGCCGCGUGAGGGAUGGUCGACGCGGCCG